rnacentral:rRNA from 1 species
UACGGAGGGUGCAAGCGUUGUUCGGAAUUACUGGGCGUAAAGGGCGCGUAGGCGGCCUGAUAAGUCAGAUGUGAAAGUCCACGGCUCAACCGUGGAAGUGCAUUUGAAACUGUCAGGCUUGAGUAUCGGAGGGGAGUGUGGAAUUCCCGGUGUAGAGGUGAAAUUCGUAGAGAUCGGGAGGAACACCGGUGGCGAAGGCGACACUCUGGACGAAUACUGACGCUGAGGCGCGAAAGCGUGGGGAGCAAACAGG